UACCAGCACCCCGAGUGGUCGGGACGAUUAUUGGGCCUAAAGCAUCCGUAGCCGGUCCUACAAGUCUUCCGUUAAAUCCACCUGCUUAACAGAUGGGCUGCGGAAGAUACUAUAGGGCUAGGGGGCGGGAGAGGCAAGCGGUACUCAGUGGGUAGGGGUAAAAUCCUCUGAUCCAUUGAAGACCACCAGUGGCGAAGGCGGCUUGCCAGAACGCGCUCGACGGUGAGGGAUGAAAGCUGGGGGAGCAAACCGG
rnacentral:rRNA from 1 species